rnacentral:pre_miRNA from 1 species
AGUGGAAUAGCUGGGUCAAAUGAUGGUUCCAAUCCAAGUUUUUUAAGGAAUCUUCAUACUGCUUUCCAGAUUGGUUGCACCAAUUUGCCAUCCCAAAAGCAGU